rnacentral:rRNA from 1 species
AUUGAACGCUGGCGGCAGGCCUAACACAUGCAAGUCGAGCGGAGCGGCGGACGGGGGAGGAAUGCCUAGGAAUCUGCAUGGUAGUGGGGGAUAACGUCCGGAAACGGGCGCUAAUACCGCAUACUAUCAGAUGAGCCUAGGUCGGAUUAGCGAGUUGGUGGGGUAAAGGCCUACCAAGGCGACGAUCCGUAACUGGUGGGAGAGGAUGAUCAGUCACACUGGGACUGAGCCACGGGCCAGACUCCGACGGGAGGCAGCAGUGGGGAAGAUUGGACAAUGGGCGAAAGCCUGAUCCAGCCAUGCCGCGUGUGUGAAGAAGGUCUUAGGAGUGUAAAGCACUUUAAGUUGGGAGGCGUUACCAACAGAAGAAGCACCGGCUAACUACGUGCCAGCAGCCGCGGUAAUAC